CAGCAGCGCGGGAAUACAGAGGGUGCAAGCGUUAAUCGGAAUUACUGGGCGUAAAGCGCGCGUAGGUGGUUUGUUAAGUUGGAUGUGAAAGCCCCGGGCUCAACCUGGGAACUGCAUCCAAAACUGGCAAGCUAGAGUACGGUAGAGGGUGGUGGAAUUUCCUGUGUAGCGGUGAAAUGCGUAGAUAUAGGAAGGAACACCAGUGGCGAAGGCGACCACCUGGACUGAUACUGACACUGAGGUGCGAAAGCGUGGGGAGCAAACAGGAUUAGAUACCCCAGUAGUCCCUGUCUCUUAUACC
rnacentral:rRNA from 1 species